rnacentral:tRNA from 1 species
GGCACUAUACCUUAGUUGGCUAAAGUACCUGCCUCAUAAACAGGAGAUUCUGGGUUCAAGUCCCAGUGGUGCCU